AUGCAAAAACAAAGUCCUGGAAACGUUGAACCAGAUGAGCUCUGCUUUUUGCUCCACGACUGUUUAUUUACAGCACAGCAGACAAAUGUGAACCACACACUAAACACAUCAUUGGUUAAUUCAUCUUCCUGCAGUCUCAAAGCAGCUGGCACAUCCACAUUUAAACAACACAUUCCCGUUCACCCUCAGAAUAACUCACUCUCACCCAUUUCUGUGCUUCACGAGAGCGGAUCACCCAUUUUCACUCUGUGAGAAGAAACCUGUGUGUUACAGGUAAGGCAGCAAAAUCCCAGAGCCUUUAUCAAGAGGUACUGCAGGAGUUUUAACGACAUCUCAGUCCGAACAGCAGGACAGUAUGUUGGUAAAAAGCUACAACAAUUGUUUUUUAGGUCAGCUCUCCAUCUGUUUGACACUGACCACAAUCCUAACGUUGAAUUGUAAGAUCACCUAGAUACUUGUAGUGUCUCCAGACAUGAACAUUUGCUUUUAUAUAACACAAGGUACAAGAGAAACGACGACAUCACUGUGCUAGAAGCAUGUCGGCUCGAACACACAAUAACAGCACAGAUGACGUGCAAUUAAAACUUUUUUUUUUCAUUCGAAUCGAUGAGACGCUGCAUGAGUGGCACUUUAAUGUGAACUAGUCCUAGUAGUAUUUAAAGUAGGCACUUCUCCGCUCAGUGCCCUAGAGUUCAGAUCCUCAUUUGGAUGCACAUCUAGAUGGAUUACCACAACUUAGAUGGCAAACCACAAGAAGAGGCCACGAAACCAAAACUUGCAUGGUACCCAUUCAAGAAAACGUGAAAAUAGACCUAGUUUGACGCCAUUUUUAAUCAUCAAAAUUUCCAUUCGAGUGACAAAAACGCUGAUAGAUUAUUUAUUCUAUAAUAUGCAUUACAACUUUAUUCCCUCUUUCUUUUUAUACUAUAUACAUUUGCAUUUUACACAGACAUCGGGGGUUGUGUUGUCAAAGUGAGAGGUAUUAGGUUCAGGUUUAGACCGAACGUUGGGAUUGGACAGAGGGCCGUGCUGGGGACAGGAAGUGGUUGAGACG
rnacentral:lncRNA from 1 species